ACUCCCAAACCCCAAUGUGAACGUUACCAAUCUGUUGCCUCGGCGGGAUUCUCUUGCCCCGGGCGCGUCGCAGCCCCGGAUCCCAUGGCGCCCGCCGGAGGACCAACUCCAAACUCUUUUUUUCUCUCCGUCGCGGCUCCCGUCGCGGCUCUGUUUUAUUUUUGCUCUGAGCCUUUCUCGGCGACCCUAGCGGGCGUCUCGAAAAUGAAUCAAAACUUUCAACAACGGAUCUCUUGGUUCUGGCAUCGAUGAAGAACGCAGCGAAAUGCGAUAAGUAAUGUGAAUUGCAGAAUUCAGUGAAUCAUCGAAUCUUUGAACGCACAUUGCGCCCGCCAGUAUUCUGGCGGGCAUGCCUGUCCGAGCGUCAUUUCAACCCUCGAACCCCUCCGGGGGGUCGGCGUUGGGGAUCGGCCCCUCACCGGGCCGCCCCCGAAAUACAGUGGCGGUCUCGCCGCAGCCUCUCCUGCGCAGUAGUUUGCACACUCGCACCGGGAGCGCGGCGCGGCCACAGCCGUAAAACACCCCAAACUUCUGAAAUGUUGACCUCGGAUCAGGUAGGAAUACCCGCUGAACUUAAGCAUAUCAAUAA
rnacentral:rRNA from 1 species